rnacentral:rRNA from 2 species
AACGUAGGUCACGAGCGUUGUCCGGAAUUACUGGGUGUAAAGGGAGCGCAGGCGGGUAUGCAAGUUGGGAGUGAAAUACAUGGGCUCAACCCAUGAACUGCUCUCAAAACUGUGUAUCUUGAGUAGUGCAGAGGUAGGCGGAAUUCCCGGUGUAGCGGUGGAAUGCGUAGAUAUCGGGAGGAACACCAGUGGCGAAGGCGGCCUACUGGGCACCAACUGACGCUGAGGCUCGAAAGUGUGGGUAGCAAACAGG